rnacentral:tRNA from 1 species
GCCCCUUUAGUUAAACGGAUAUAAUCUUCGCCUCCGACGCGAACGUUGCCGGUUCGAUUCCGGCAGGGGGUACCA